GUGUCAGCCGCCGCGGUAAGACAGAGGGUGCAAACGUUGUUCGGAAUUACUGGGCGUAAAGCGUGUGUAGGCGGCUACAUAAGUCGGAUGUGAAAGCCCCGGGCUCAACCCGGGAAGUGCACUCGAUACUGCGUAGCUUGAGUCUCGGAGAGGUUGGUGGAAUUCUCGGUGUAGAGGUGAAAUUCGUAGAUAUCGAGAGGAACACCGGUGGCGAAGGCGGCCAACUGGACGAAGACUGACGCUGAGACACGAAAGCGUGGGGAGCAAACAGGAUUAGAUACCCUGGUAGUCCACGCCGUAAACGAUGGGUGCUAGGUGUCACGAGCUUUGACUCUCGUGGUGCCGUAGCUAACGCAUUAAGCACCCCGCCUGGGAAGUACGGCCGCAAGGCUAAA
rnacentral:rRNA from 1 species